rnacentral:lncRNA from 1 species
UAUUUCAGAGAGUUCUCAACUUCUCUCUCUCUCACUGUGUCUCUCACCAGUUCUUCACCUUCAAUCUGUAUGUUUUCAUCGUAUCAGAGCAGGAUGAUCCUCGGAUUCUUCUCCGUUACUUGUUAUCGAUCGUGUCGGAAGUUCUAUUGAAGGUUUUUCUCUGGAUAUUUGUGAGAGAUUCUGCUUACCAAGAGAUCGAUGUGUAUUGAACAGAUAAUCGGAACUUUUACUGCUAUUUGAUGGUUUGAUCUUCACUCGGUGGAUUCUUUGGUUGAUUUUCCGACAUCCCUGACCUUAUUCCGGUAACUUUCCAGAUUCUAGGGUUUCUGGUGUUCGGACCUAGGGUUUUACUGCUAUCCGAUUGCUUGAUCCUCACUCGGUGGAUGUUUUGGAUGAUUUUCCGACGUCCUUCUGUUUACCGAGAGAUCGAUGUGUAUUGAACAGAUAAUCGGAACUUUUACUGUUAUUUGAUGGUUCGAUCUUCACUCAGUGGAUGUUUUGGGUGAUUUUUCGACAUCCCUGACCUUAUUCCGGUAACUUUCCAGAUUCUAGGGUUUCUGGUGUUCGGACCUAGGGUUUUACUGCUAUCAGAUGGCUCGAUCCUUACUCGGUGGAUGCUUUAGGUGAUUUUUCGACGUCCCUGACCCUAUUCCGGUAAGUUUUCAGACCCUACGAUUUCCGGUGGUCGGACCUAGGGUUUUAUCUGGCGAUUGAAAGCCGUUCUUCUCCGGUCGCGAAGAAGGAGGGUAACUCUAUCCUUGUUCUAAGUGUUGUAUAUUUUGCAUGUGGGUUCUGAUUCAACUUUAGGCUGUUUACCGAGACUGUUUUUGAUUUCAAACUGGUUAUUGUUCAUGACUUCUAAUAUGAAUGCUAAUACCUCCUCAGUGGACUCUACCAGCCCCCUUUUUGUUUACUCCUCUGAUGUUCUUGGAGUUUCUCUUGUGUCCACUCCCUUCUCGGGCAGUGGUUAUGGGGGUUGGAGGAGGAAAAUGAUUGUCG